UUUUUCAGAUUAUAGGAGCAAGAUAUUUUUUAAGUCUUUUAAUGCAUAUCAUCAAAUUUUCCCUUAGAAAAAAGUCGCAUCUCUAACCAAAAGCAGCAAGAGAGCUUGUCCCCUUGAGUGCUCGGCCAUUCCAUAUGCAGAAAAUGGGUCCACGUGAGUGAUUUAUUUGGAGGAAAUGCUGUCUCUAGCCUGCUCCAACCCACGAGAAAAAGGAAAUGUGAACAAAGGGACUCUGCUGGCCCGGUUGUCACUUCAUCUAAUCAUGCCUCUAGAAGAGAGACCAAGCCAAACUAAGCAAGCUUACUUCUAGCCUCUGAUUUGCUGUCUGACAUUCUGCCAGGUGUCACUCAUGUGUCACCUCCUUCAGGAGGCCUUCCCUGACCAUCACGUUUUAGAUGGGUCCUUCUUCCGUCUCCAUCAGACUGUGCUGCUACAAAUUGCCUGAAUGGAAUAUCGUUGUCCUUCCUGCAUAGAUUAGACACAUACUAUACCAAAGCCAUUAAAAAAAUCAGCCGGCAAAUUUGUGAAUCAUUAAGGAGCAGAGAUGAAUUAGGUAGUUUUCAAUGUCUUACUAAUUCCCACUAUAUUUUCAGAUUAUUGUCACUGAAUGUAAAACAGCCAACUGAAUCAAGUAUACUCUUUCACAAAUAAAUGUUAUAAAAUG
rnacentral:lncRNA from 1 species